GGCUAACGCUGGCGGCGUGUCUUAGCCAUGCAAGUCGAGCGGACUUAUGGGGUAACUUAUAAGUCAGCGGCGGACGGCGGAGUAACACGUAGCUAACCUACCCUCUGGACGGGGAUAACCUACCGAAAGGUGGGCUAAUACCCGAUGUAGUCAUCCUGUAUAGGGGUGAUGAAAGGUGGGCUUCUGUUUACAAGCUCAUGCUGGAGGAGGGGGCUGCGGCCUAUCAGGUAGUUGGUAGGGUAAUAGCCUACCAAGCCGAUGACGGGUAGCUGGUCUGAGAGGAUGGUCAGCCACACUGGGACUGAGACACGGCCCAGACUCCUACGGGAGGCAGCAGUGAGGAAUCUUGGGCAAUGGGCGAAAGCCUGACCCAGCGACGCCGCGUGGAGGAAGAAGGCCUUCGGGUCGUAAACUCCUGUUUGGGGAGAAGAACAAGAGAGAAGUUAAUAGCUUCUCUCUCUGACGGUAUCCCCGGAGAAAGCUCCGGCUAAUUACGUG
rnacentral:rRNA from 1 species